rnacentral:rRNA from 1 species
GUGGGGAAUCUUAGACAAUGGGGGAAACCCUGAUCUAGCCAUGCCGCGUGAGCGAUGAAGGCCUUAGGGUUGUAAAGCUCUUUCAGCUGGGAAGAUAAUGACGGUACCAGCAGAAGAAGCCCCGGCUAACUCCGUGCCAGCAGCCGCGGUAAUACGGAUGGGGCUAGCGUUGUUCGGAAUUACUGGGCGUAAAGCGCACGUAGGCGGAUCGGAAAGUUGGGGGUGAAAUCCCAGGGCUCAACCCUGGAACUGCCUUCAAAACUAUCGGUCUGGAGUCCGGGAGAGGUGAGUGGAAUUCCGAGUGUAGAGGGUAAAUUCGUAGAUAUUCGGAGGAACACCAGUGGCGAAGGCGGCUCACUGGCUCGGUACUGACGCUGAGGUGCGAAAGCGUGGGGAGCAAACAGGAUUAGAUACCCGAGUAGUCC